AUUGAACGCUGGCGGCAUGCUUUACACAUGCGAGUCGAACGGCAGCGCGGGCUUCGGCCUGGCGGCGAGUGGCGAACGGGUGAGCAAUACAUCGGAACGUGCCCAGUAGUGGGGGAUAGCUCGGCGAAAGCCGGAUUAAUACCGCACACGACCUGAGGGUGAAAGCGGGGGAUCUUCGGACCUCGCGCCAUUGGAGCGGCCGAUGGCGGACUAGCUAGUUUGUGGGGUAAAGGCCUACCAAGGCGACGAUCUGUAGCUGGUCUGAUGGGACGACCAGCCACGCUGGGACUGAGACACGGCCCAGACUCCUACGGGAGGCAGCAGUGGGGAAUUUUGGACAAUGGGCGAAAGCCUGAUCCAGCAAUGCCGCGUGUGUGAUGAAGGCCUUCGGGUUGUAAAGCACUUUUGGCGGGAACGAAAAGGACUGUGCCAAUACCACGGUUCGAUGACGGUACCCGCAGAAUAAGCACCGGCUAACUACGUG
rnacentral:rRNA from 1 species